GUGCGGUAACACGCACUGGAGGUCCGAACCCACUAAUGUUGAAAAAUUAGGGGAUGAGCUGUGGGUAGGGGUGAAAGGCUAAACAAACUUGGAAAUAGCUGGUUCUCUCCGAAAACUAUUUAGGUAGUGCCUCAAGUAUCACCAUCGGGGGUAGAGCACUGUUAUGGCUAGGGGUUCAUUGCGAAUUACCAACCCAUUGCAAACUCCGAAUACCGAUGAGUGCGAGCUUGGGAGACAGACGCCGGGUGCUAACGUCCGACGUCAAGAGGGAAACAACCCAGACCGCCAGCUAAGGUCCCAAAGAUUGGCUAAGUGGCAAACGAAGUGGGAAGGCUAAAACAGUCAGGAGGUUGGCUUAGAAGCAGCCAUCCUUUAAAGAAAGCGUAAUAGCUCACUGAUCGAGUCGUCCUGCGCGGAAGAUGUAACGGGGCUAAGCCAGUCACCGAAGCUGCGGAUAUGUGUUUAUUUAUAAACCAUAUGGUAGGAGAGCGUUCUGUAAGCCUGCGAAGGUGUCUUGUAAAGGAUGCUGGAGGUAUCAGAAGUGCGAAUGCUGACAUGAGUAGCGAUAAUGGGGGUGAAAAGCCUCCACGCCGUAAGCCCAAGGUUUCCUGUUCAACGUUCAUCGGAGCAGGGUGAGUCGGCCCCUAAGGCGAGGCAGAGAUGCGUAGCUGAUGGGAAGCAGGUUAAUAUUCCUGCACCGUCGUGUGAUGCGAUGGGGGGACGGAUCGCGGAAGGUUGUCCGACUGUUGGAAUAGUCGGUUUUUGGCUCAGAGAAGGCUGUUAGGCAAAUCCGGCAGCGUAAUUCAAGGGGUUGAGACGAGUGAAUUUAUUCACGAAGCAAUCGGAAGUGGUUCCAAGAAAAGCCUCUAAGCUUCAGUCACACGAGACCGUACCGCAAACCGACACAGGUGGGCGAGAUGAGUAUUCUAAGGCGCUUGAGAGAACUCGGGAGAAGGAACUCGGCAAAUUUGUACCGUAACUUCGGGAUAAGGUACGCCCCGGUAGCUUGACUGGCUCGCGCCAGCAGGGUGAAAGGGCUGCAAUAAAAAGGUGGCUGCGACUGUUUAAUAAAAACACAGCACUAUGCAAACACGAAAGUGGACGUAUAUGGUGUGACUCCUGCCCGGUGCUGGAAGAUUAAAUGAUGGGGUGCAAGCUCUUGAUUGAAGUCCCAGUAAACGGCGGCCGUAACUAUAACGGUCCUAAGGUAGCGAAAUUCCUUGUCGGGUAAGUUCCGACCUGCACGAAUGGAGUAACGAUGGCCACACUGUCUCCUCCCGAGACUCAGCGAAGUUGAAAUGUUUGUGAUGAUGCAAUCUACCCGCGGCUAGACGGAAAGACCCCAUGAACCUUUACUGUAGCUUUGCAUUGAAUUUUGAACCAAUCUGUGUAGGAUAGGUGGGAGGCUUUGAAGCGUGAACGCUAGUUUGCGUGGAGCCAACCUUGAAAUACCACCCUGGUUUGUUUGAGAUUCUAACCUUGGUCCGUUAUCCGGAUCGGGGACAGUGCAUGGUAGGCAGUUUGACUGGGGCGGUCUCCUCCUAAAGUGUAACGGAGGAGUUCGAAGGUACGCUAGGUACGGUCGGACAUCGUGCUGUUAGUGCAAUGGCAUAAGCGUGCUUAACUGCGAGACUGACAAGUCGAGCAGGUACGAAAGUAGGACAUAGUGAUCCGGUGGUUCUGUAUGGAAGGGCCAUCGCUCAACGGAUAAAAGGUACUCUGGGGAUAACAGGCUGAUUCCUCCCAAGAGUUCAUAUCGACGGGGGAGUUUGGCACCUCGAUGUCGGCUCAUCACAUCCUGGGGCUGUAGCCGGUCCCAAGGGUAUGGCUGUUCGCCAUUUAAAGUGGUACGUGAGCUGGGUUUAAAACGUCGUGAGACAGUUUGGUCCCUAUCUGCCGUGGGCGUUGGAAAUUUGAAGGGGGCUGCUCCUAGUACGAGAGGACCGGAGUGGACGAACCUCUGGUGUACCGGUUGUCACGCCAGUGGCAUUGCCGGGUAGCUAAGUUCGGAAGAGAUAACCGCUGAAAGCAUCUAAGCGGGAAACUUGCCUUGAGAUGAUAUUUCCCGGGAACUAGAUUCCCCUAAAGGGUCGUUCGAGACCAGGACGUUGAUAGGCUGGGUGUGGAAGCGUAGUAAUACGUUAAGCUAACCAGUACUAAUUGCCCGUGCGGCUUGUCCCU
rnacentral:rRNA from 1 species